ACCUGAGAUCCCAGCUGGUAUUUAUCUAGUGGAAGCCAGGGUAAAGAUGGUAAGAUUGCCACAUCGAGAUGAAGGGAAUUUGGCAUGGGGAUGGUUGAAAGUAGCUGAUCUCUGAAACUCUCUGGGUAUCCUUGGUAA